rnacentral:rRNA from 1 species
UACGGAGGAUCCGAGCGUUAUCCGGAUUUAUUGGGUUUAAAGGGUGCGUAGGCGGCCUGUUAAGUCAGGGGUGAAAGACGGUAGCUCAACUAUCGCAGUGCCUUUGAUACUGCAGGGCUUGAAUGUACUUGAGGUAGGCGGAAUGUGACAAGUAGCGGUGAAAUACAUAGAGAUGUCAUAGAACACCGAUUGCGAAGGCAGCUGACGAAACUAUAACUGACACUGAGGCUCGAAAGUGCGGGGAUCAAACAGG